GCCGGGGGGAGCGGGCGGUGGCUGCGGGAUCCCCGGCCCCGCCUCGGGGCUCGCCGUGCCUGCAGGCGCCGCGCCGCCGCUCCCGCAGCCCCGAGCCCCGCGAGCCCGAACGGGAGAGAAACAAAAGGAACUCAAAUAGAAGAAAGGCAGACAUUGGCACGGCUGUAAUGGGAUAACUCUGACAGUGACCAGCUGCUUCGGGGAAGAAAUAUAUAUUCCAUCAUUUUAUAUCCAACAGGGUGGCUUGUGGGGGUUUUUUCUCUUAAGUUAUCACUAAAAACUUGAGGUGGAUCCCAAAAUCCUGGAGGAUGGAACAUUGUGCAGAGCCAGGAGUAAGGCAAGGAUACCUGCAGCAGUCACUCAGCCCUCUGUGAGAUCUGUGGGCUUUCAGUAUUUUCAAAGCCACCCUAAAUCAGUAUUUUUGGUUUUGUUUUUUUUUCUUAUGAGUUCUUUAGCACUGAAAUAGAAUCCAAAUUACAACAGGUUGGAAAGGGAGAUUCAUUCUGAAGUCAGUCUUUGGGAAUUUUUUUUUUUAAGUGGGGAUAUCCAACUGUUUAACCUUUAAGAUGAGCACAAGUGACAUUUUUUGGCUAGCAAAUAUGAAAGUUUAGGUAAUUUAAUGGGAAACAAAACAAAAAAAAAAAAGGAAAAUUAUGUGCAAGAACGAAUCAAGCAUCAAGUCAUAGGGUUUUUUUGGGGCAGAGAGAAUUCUGUAAGAAACACCUGAAAAGGAGGAGAGGGACUUUUUAAAUUCAGUAUUUCAGCCUUUGAAAGGAUGGGAAGAUAUUGUCAGAAAACAAGGAUAAUUAAGAGACAUUAAUCAGAGGAUGGUGAACUUUGUCUUCACUCUUGACUGUGGUUUUGGGAAUACAAAGUAAACACAAACCAAGCAAGAAUAAUCACUGAAUUCUUGGAAAAGACCCCUAAGAUCAAGUCCAGCACUAAACCGUGUCCCUAGGAGACAUAAAGAUGAAAGAAAUACAUGGAAAUAAAUAAAUUCAGUGGGAACAUCCCCGUGUGGUCUUUAUUUCCCUCCUUGCAAGGAAAGGAAAUGUUCCUUGAGCUGAUGAGGGGCAUGUGAUGCUCACAGAAAUAUGAAGAAAACAAUCAGAGGCAAUGGAAGGAGACAAAAAGAAAAAUACUUUCAUUUAGAGAAAAAAAAAA